rnacentral:rRNA from 1 species
UGGGGAAUUUUGGACAAUGGGCGCAAGCCUGAUCCAGCAAUGCCGCGUGCAGGAUGAAGGCCUUCGGGUUGUAAACUGCUUUUGUACGGAGCGAAAAGGUCUGCCCUAAUACGGUGGGCUCAUGACGGUACCGUAAGAAUAAGCACCGGCUAACUACGUGCCAGCAGCCGCGGUGAUACGUAGGGUGCGAGCGUUAAUCGGAAUUACUGGGCGUAAAGCGUGCGCAGGCGGUUAUAUAAGACAGAGGUGAAAUCCCCGGGCUCAACCUGGGAACUGCCUUUGUGACUGCAUAGCUGGAGUACGAUAGAGGGAGAUGGAAUUCCGCGUGUAGCAGUGAAAUGCGUAGAUAUGCGGAGGAACACCGAUGGCGAAGGCAAUCCCCUGGACCUGUACUGACGCUCAUGCACGAAAGCGUGGGGAGCAAACA